AUACGGAGGAUCCGAGCGUUAUCCGGAUUUAUUGGGUUUAAAGGGUGCGCAGGCGGCCAUUUAAGUCAGCGGUUAAAUCGUGGGGCUCAACCCCAUUCUGCCGUUGAUACUGGGUGGCUUGAUUGCGGUCGAGGUUGGCGGAAUUCGCUGUGUAGCGGUGAAAUGCAUAGAUAUGACGAAGAACACCGAUUGCGUAGGCAGCUGACCAGACCGCAAAUGACGCUCAUGCACGAAAGUGCGGGGAUCGAACAGGAUUAGAUACCCUGGUAGUCCGCACAGUAAACGAUGAAUACUUGUUUUCGGCGAUAUAAUGUCGGAGGCAAAGCGAAAGCGAUAAGUAUUCCACCUGGGGAGUACGCCGGCAACGGUGAAACUCAAAUGAAUUGGCGGGG
rnacentral:rRNA from 1 species